rnacentral:rRNA from 1 species
UACAGGGGGGGCAAGCGUUGUUCGGAAUUACUGGGCGUAAAGGGCUCGUAGGUGGCCAACUAAGUCAGACGUGAAAUCCCUCAGCUUAACUGGGGAACUGCGUCUGAUACUGGAUGGCUUGGAGUUUGGGAGAGGGAUGCGGAAUUCCAGGUGUAGCGGUGAAAUGCGUAGAUAUCUGGAGGAACACCGGUGGCGAAGGCGGCAUCCUGGACCAACACUGACACUGAGGAGCGAAAGCCAGGGGAGCAAACGGGG